CCCUGGGGUGGCACAGCCAUGAGCUGCGUCUCCAUCCCUGCCCCAACGCCGCUGCCAGUGGGUCGCAAGCGAAGGCGAGCAUCAAGUCGGGUUUGUUCCCCUUGGGAUGGGCCCUACUGCACCAUGGCCUUCAAUGAGUGGGGACGGGCUCAGUGCCACGGGCUCACAGCGGUCGGGCCGGUUGGGACGGUCCGGGUGCAUUCCCACAAACCCCUCACAUUUCCGGACACGUGAAAGCAGGGAUGGUCUUGCCUCGUCCUGGCACUGACCCACUGCAGAAAGCGCAGCGCUCGCUCGCAGACACUUCCCGGGCUGCAAACCCCAGCGGCCACCAGCACCUGGUACCCCAGCCCCAUCGUGCGCUGCUGGGAGCAGAGAGGGGACCGCUGGCCGAACGCCUCGGCUCCGGAUUGACGCCAGGAGCACCAGGUCGGACGCCUCGCUGCAGCCCCAUGAACUUCCUCUCCCAGGUGAGCGCCGUGGUCAAGGCCGUGCCCGGAGUGGACGGGCUGUUCCUCCAGCCCUGGAGCUGGCUGCGCGCAUGGGUGCGACAGGUUUGGGGCGCUGAUGGAGGCAAUGCUGCUGUGGGGACCCCAGGGUAGAGUACGCUGGUCUCAAGGGGCCGCGCAGAUGCUAUGGACGGUGUCGCGGCCACCAGCGCCAGGUUUGGGACAGUGGGUCAGGGCAGGAGGAGG
rnacentral:lncRNA from 1 species